CGAAUAAAUAUAUUGACUGCUUCGAAGCAAAUUUUUGUUGGUUUUAGCCUUUUUUGGGAGAAAAUGGGUAUAAGUGUUGUCUAAACACUCCUAAUCCAUCUCUAACACUUAUAAAACGUCAAAUGCAUUGGAUUGUGACACAUUUUGACCAUAAAAACACUAACAAAACUUUUUACUGCUUCUAAGCAAUUUUUUAUUGGUUUUAGCCUCUUUUAGGAGAAAAUAGGUAUAAGUGUUGUCUAAACACUCCUAAUCCAUCUAUAACUCUUAUAAUUAGUCAAAUGAUUUGGAUUGUGAAACAUUUUGACCAUCGAAACACUAACAAAGCUAUUUACUGCUUUUAAACAAAUUUUUGUUGGUUUUAGUCUCUUUUAGGAAAAAAUGGGUAUAAGUAUUGUCUAAACACUCUUAAUCCAUCUCUAACUCUUAUAUUUAGUCAAAGGCUUUGGAUUGUGACUCAUUUUGACCAUAGGAACACUAACAAAGCUAUUUACUGCUUUAAGCAAUGUUUUGUUGGUUUUAGCCUGUUUUGGGGAGAAAAUGGGUAUAAGUGUUGUCUAAACACUCCUAAUCCAUCUCUAACUCUUAUAAUUAUUCAAAUGCAUUGGAUUGUGACAGAUUUUGACCAUAAAAACACUAACAAAGUUGUCUACUGGUUCAAAACAAUUUUUGUUGGUUUUAGCCUCUUUGGAGAGAAAAAGGGUAUAAGUGUUGUCUAAACACUCCUAAUCAAUCUCUAACUCUUAUAAUUAAUCAAAUGCAUUGGAUUGUGACACAUUUUGACCAUAAAAACACUAACAAAGCUGUCUACUGUUUCAAAACAAUUUUUGUUGGUUUUAGCCUCUUUUCAGAGAAAAAAGGUAUAAGUGUUGUCUAAACACUCCUAAUCCAUCUCUAACUCUUAUAAUUAGUGAAAUGCAUUGGAUUUUGACACAUUUUGACCAUAAAAACACUAACAAAACUGUUUACUGCUUCUAAGCAAUUUUUU
rnacentral:sRNA from 1 species